AACGAACGCUGGCGGCAGGCUUAAUACAUGCAAGUCGAGCGGAGAUGAGGUGCUUGCACCCUAUCUUAGCGGCGGACGGGUGAGUAAUGCUUAGGAAUCUGCCUAUUAGUGGGGGACAACAUUCCGAAAGGAAUGCUAAUACCGCAUACGUCCUACGGGAGAAAGCAGGGGAUCUUCGGACCUUGCGCUAAUAGAUGAGCCUAAGUCGGAUUAGCUAGUUGGUGGGGUAAAGGCCUACCAAGGCGACGAUCUGUAGCGGGUCUGAGAGGAUGAUCCGCCACACUGGGACUGGGACACGGCCCCGACUCCUACGGGAGGCAGCAGUGGGGAAUAUUGGACAAUGGGGGGAACCCUGAUCCAGCCAUGCCGCGUGUGUGAAGAAGGCCUUAUGGUUGUAAAGCACUUUAAGCGAGGAGGAGGCUACUGAGACUAAUACUCUUGGAUAGUGGACGUUACUCGCAGAAUAAGCACCGGCUAACUCUGUGCCAGCCGCCGCCGUAAGAC
rnacentral:rRNA from 1 species